AACUACUAUGCAACUUUUCAUUGCAGUGAGAAAGUCGCCACAGACAAUAGGUGCUCCCGGUGGUGUUGACUGGCAAAAGCCAGGGAAAAAACGAUCUAUGCAGCGUGACUAUGGUGGAAGAGGACAAAAGCCUGGAUGGAAUCACACGUCAACACGGCGAUAAUAGCACAGGGCAUUCAGUGCACGUUUCUGUGAGCCUUCCAUCAUGCUUCGACGGCUCUGACAUCGAUGAUCAGUUCAUUUCAUCCUCACGACACUGGGAGGAGGUGGAUACUAUUAACAUACCCAUUUUACAGAUGAGUAUACUGAGGCAGAAGGGCUCAGGGAACGU
rnacentral:lncRNA from 1 species